GUUAGGAUAUCGUCUAGUUGACGUAUCGGACACAUUUUUCUUUAUCAUUUGCGUCGUUAGGAUAUCGUCUAGUUGACGUAUCGGACACAUUUUUCUUUAUCAUUUGCGUUGUUAGGAUAUCGUCUUGUUGACGUAUCGGACACAUUUUUCUUUAUCAUUUGCAUUGUUGGGAUAUCGUCUUGUUGACGUAUCGGACACAUUUUUCUUUAUCAUUUGCGUUGUAAGGAUAUCGUCUAGUUGACGUAUCUGACACAUUUUUCU
rnacentral:lncRNA from 1 species